rnacentral:rRNA from 1 species
AAACUUUCAACAACGGAUCUCUUGGUUCUGGCAUCGAUGAAAAACGCAGCGAAAUGCGAUAAGUAAUGUGAAUUGCAGAAUUCAGUGAAUCAUCGAAUCUUUGAACGCACAUUGCGCCCGCCAGUAUUCUGGCGGGCAUGCCUGUUCGAGCGUCAUUU